rnacentral:rRNA from 1 species
UACGAAGGGGGCUAGCGUUGCUCGGAAUCACUGGGCGUAAAGCGCACGUAGGCGGACUCUUAAGUCGGUGGUGAAAUCCUGGAGCUCAACUCCAGAACUGCCUUCGAUACUGAGAGUCUCGAGUCCGGGAGAGGUGAGUGGAACUGCGAGUGUAGAGGUGAAAUUCGUAGAUAUUCGCAAGAACACCAGUGGCGAAGGCGGCUGACUGGCCCGGUUCUGACGCUGAGGCGCGAAAGCGUGGGGAGCAAACAGG